CCUACGGGUGGCAGCAGUGAGGAAUAUUGGUCAAUGGGCGUAAGCCUGAACCAGCCAAGUCGCGUGAGGGAUUAAGGCCCUGCGGGUUGUAAACCUCUUUUGUCGGGGAGCAGAGGUCCGGACGUGUCCGGGUUGGGAUAGUACCUGUAGAAAAAGCAGCGGCAAACACCGUGCCAGCACCCCCGGUAAUACGGGGGAUGCGAGCGUUAUCCGGAUUUAUUGGGUUAAAGGGGUGCGUAGGCGGGCAUUUAAGCCGGCGGUCAAAUGUCGGGCCUCAACCCCGGCUUGCCGUCGGAACUGGGUGCCUUGAGUGGGCGAGAGGUAUGCGGAAUGCGUGGUGUAGCGGUGAAAUGCAUAGAUAUCACGCAGAACCCCGAUUGCGAAGGCAGCAUACCGGCGCCCUACUGACGCUGAGGCACGAAAGUGCGGGUAUCGAACAGGAUUAGAUACCCUGGUAGUC
rnacentral:rRNA from 1 species